ACCCGGCUAGCUUAGUCGUUAGAGCAUGAGACUCUUAAUCUCAGAGUCCUGGGUUAGAUCCCCACGUUGGGCA
rnacentral:tRNA from 1 species